CAGCAGUCGCCGCGGUAACACCGAGGGUGCAAGCGUUAAUCGGAAUUACUGGGCGUAAAGCGCGCGUAGGUGGUUUGUUAAGUUGGAUGUGAAAGCCCCGGGCUCAACCUGGGAACUGCAUCCAAAACUGGCAAGCUAGAGUACGGUAGAGGGUGGUGGAAUUUCCUGUGUAGCGGUGAAAUGCGUAGAUAUAGGAAGGAACACCAGUGGCGAAGGCGACCACCUGGACUGAUACUGACACUGAGGUGCGAAAGCGUGGGGAGCAAACAGGAUUAGAUACCCCUGUAGUCCCUGUCUCUUAUAA
rnacentral:rRNA from 1 species